AGUCGGCCCCUCAGACCCUGGAGCGAUGGAGGACCCCGGCCCCGGCGCGGUCCAGCGGUGGGAGCGGGCGCCGCCCACCUGUCGGAUCCCUGGGCCAUGACCCCUGGGACGGCGAGUGAGCUGCGCCGGGAACCCCCGGGACGGAGAGAGCAGCCUCCAACCCCCAAGGCUCACAUUGCUUCACGGAGUAGCGGCCCGGGGAAGGAGCACGCGAGCGGUUCCCCGGGGUUGCAUCUCACACCCGGGAGGGAGGGACCCUACUAUUUUCAGGCCCCGAAUCCUCCACUCUCUGGCCCUGCAUGGCGUUCCUGGAGCCCAUAGAGCCACGAACCCCCUGAACAAGGAGCUCGACUGGGCCAGCAUCAACGGCUUCUGCGAGCAGCUCAACGAGGACUUUGAGGGGCCUCCACUCGCCACCCGGCUGCUGGCCCACAAGAUCCAGUCCCCACAGGAGUGGGAGGCGAUCCAGGCCUUGACGGUGCUGGAAACAUGCAUGAAGAGCUGCGGCAAGCGGUUCCACGACGAAGUGGGCAAGUUCCGCUUUCUCAACGAGCUCAUCAAGGUCGUGUCUCCCAAG
rnacentral:lncRNA from 1 species